rnacentral:rRNA from 1 species
GGGUACAUUCAGUGGCGAACGGGUGAGUAACACGUGGAUAAUCUACCCCUUAAUCUGGGAUAAGCUUCCGAAAGGAGGUCUAAUACCGGAUAAUACCGCCGGGCGGCAUCGCCUGGCGGUCAAAGGCGGGGCAACCUGUCGUUGAGGGAUGAGUCCGCGCUCCAUUAGCUAGUUGGCGGGGUAACGGCCCACCAAGGCAACAAUGGGUAGCCGACCUGAGAGGGUGAUCGGCCACACUGGGACUGAGAUACGGCCCAGACUCCUACGGGAGGCAGCAGUAAGGAAUAUUGCGCAAUGGCCUAACGGCUGACGCAGCAACACCGCGUGAGGGAUGAAGAUCUUUUUGAUUGUAAACCUCUGUAGGAAGGGAAAAAUAAUUUCCGUGUGAAUAAUGCGGAAAUUUGAUGGUACCUUCAAAGUAAGCACCGGCUAACUCCGUGCCAGCAGCCGCGGUAAUACGGGGGGUGCAAGCGUUGUUCGGAAUCACUGGGUGUAAAGGGCGUGUAGGUGGAUUUGUAAGUCCAAUGUGAAAUUUUUCGGCUUAACUGAAAAGGGUCAUCGGAUACUGCAAGUCUGGAGUGCGAGAGAGGAUGAUGGAAUUCCGAGUGUAGCGGUGAAAUGCGUAGAUAUUCGGAAGAACACCAGUAGCGAAGGCGGUCAUCUGGCUCGCAACUGACACUGAACCGCGAAAGUGUGGGGAGCAAACAGGAUUAGAUACCCUGGUAGUCCACGCUGUAAACGAUGAGAACUAGCCGUUGGGAGGGGAUUAGCCCUUUUAGUGGCGCAGCUAACGCGAUAAGUUCUCCGCCUGGGGAGUACGGCCGCAAGGUUAAAACUCAAAUGAAUUGACGGGGGCCCGCACAAGCGGUGGAGCAUGUGGUUUAAUUCGAUGCAACGCGAAAGAACCUUACCUGGGCCUUGACAUCCCCGGGAACUUUCCAGAAGAUGGAUUGGGUGCCUUCCGGGAACCCCGAAGACAGGGUGCUGCAUGGGUUGUCGUCCAGCUCCGUGUCGUGGAGAU